AAUCUUUCCAAAAAAAUAUGGUGCAAGUAGUAGUACGUUCAUAUGUAUUUUUAUCAAUCUUUAGGAAACCAAUGAUUCACGAAAUCCAACUGUGUAUUGUUCUUCUGUACACAUACAAACCUGGACAUCUAAUAUACAUAUGAUCGCUGCAGUAUUAUUCAAAGUAACAUUGAAAUGUCAACAAAGGGAUUGAAAUGUUAUCAAUUAUAUCCUCCAUACGCUCGUAAGAGCGAUAGCUGUCUUCAAUCGUA